CUAAAUGAUGGGUAUUUUUUUUUUCCAACAGAUGGCAGCACCAUCCCGUCUGCUGGCAGAGUCGCUGCUAAAUUCGAGGGAAAAGGAUUUGUGAAUCUUCCCAAUCUCGACGCACCUACUGAGAAGGAAUGGCUGGAGAUCAUCGAAGGAACCCACCGAGGAGAACCCGUGCCCAGGUACCUCGCCGAGAGGAACUACACCUUCCACGUCAACGAGACGGGCGAGUUCAGCACUUCCGACGGCUUCAAGGGCCACUGGAACCAGACUGAGUACUUACACUACCGCGUUCAGCGGCGACCAGUCCCACCACCGUCAUGGUGUUCCACAUCGAGGACAUACACCUGGGCCACCUCCACCUCGUGGUGGCGCAGAAAUCCGUGGCGACCUUCACCGCCACUGGGAACGAAUCGUACGUGUCCGCCAGGGCUGUUCGGCGGCAUGA